rnacentral:rRNA from 1 species
GGUUAAGUGACUAAGCGUACACGGUGGAUGCCUAGGCAGUCAGAGGCGAUGAAGGGCGUGCUAAUCUGCGAUAAGCGUCGGUAAGGUGAUAUGAACCGCAAUAACCGACGAUACCCGAAUGGGGAAACCCGGUGCACUUUGGUGCAUCAUUGCAACAUGAAUACAUAGUGUUGCAAGGCGAACCUGGGGAACUGAAACAUCUAAGUACCCAGAGGAAAAGAAAUCAACCGAGAUUCCCCCAGUAGCGGCGAGCGAACGGGGAACAGCCCAGAACCUGAAUCAGUUUGUGCAUUAGUGGAAGCGUCUGGAAAGUCGCAGGGUACAGGGUGAUACUCCCGUACACAAAAAUGCACUUGCUGUGAGUUCGAUGAGUAGGGCGGGACACGUGACAUCCUGUCUGAAUAUGGGGGGACCAUCCUCCAAGGCUAAAUACUCCUGACUGACCGAUAGUGAACCAGUACCGUGAGGGAAAGGCGAAAAGAACCCCGGCGAGGGGAGUGAAACAGAACCUGAAACCGUGUACGUACAAGCAGUGGGAGCACCUUCGUGGUGUGACUGCGUACCUUUUGUAUAAUGGGUCAGCGACUUAUAUUCUGUAGCAAGGUUAACCGUAUAGGGGAGCCGAAGGGAAACCGAGUCUUAACUGGGCGUUAAGUUGCAGGGUAUAGACCCGAAACCCGGUGAUCUAGCCAUGGGCAGGUUGAAGGUUGGGUAACACUAACUGGAGGACCGAACCGACUAAUGUUGAAAAAUUAGCGGAUGACUUGUGGCUGGGGGUGAAAGGCCAAUCAAACCGGGAGAUAGCUGGUUCUCCCCGAAAGCUAUUUAGGUAGCGCCUCGUGAACUCAUCUUCGGGGGUAGAGCACUGUUUCGGCUAGGGGGCCAUCCCGGCUUACCAACCCGAUGCAAACUGCGAAUACCGAAGAAUGUUAUCACGGGAGACACACGGCGGGUGCUAACGUCCGUCGUGAAGAGGGAAACAACCCAGACCGCCAGCUAAGGUCCCAAAGUCAUGGUUAAGUGGGAAACGAUGUGGGAAGGCACAGACAGCCAGGAUGUUGGCUUAGAAGCAGCCAUCAUUUAAAGAAAGCGUAAUAGCUCACUGGUCGAGUCGGCCUGCGCGGAAGAUGUAACGGGGCUAAACCAUGCACCGAAGCUGCGGCAGCGACGCUUAUGCGUUGUUGGGUAGGGGAGCGUUCUGUAAGCCGUCGAAGGUGGCCUGUGAGGGCUGCUGGAGGUAUCAGAAGUGCGAAUGCUGACAUAAGUAACGAUAAAGCGGGUGAAAAGCCCGCUCGCCGGAAGACCAAGGGUUCCUGUCCAACGUUAAUCGGGGCAGGGUGAGUCGACCCCUAAGGCGAGGCCGAAAGGCGUAGUCGAUGGGAAACAGGUUAAUAUUCCUGUACUCGGUGUUACUGCGAAGGGGGGACGGAGAAGGCUAUGUUAGCCGGGCGACGGUUGUCCCGGUUUAAGCAUGUAGGCGGAGAGUUUAGGUAAAUCCGGACUCUUUUAACGCUGAGGUGUGAUGACGAGGCACUACGGUGCUGAAGUAACAAAUGCCCUGCUUCCAGGAAAAGCCUCUAAGCAUCAGGUAACACAGAAUCGUACCCCAAACCGACACAGGUGGUCAGGUAGAGAAUACCAAGGCGCUUGAGAGAACUCGGGUGAAGGAACUAGGCAAAAUGGUGCCGUAACUUCGGGAGAAGGCACGCUGGCGCGUAGGUGAAGGGACUUGCUCCCGGAGCUGAAGCCAGUCGAAGAUACCAGCUGGCUGCAACUGUUUAUUAAAAACACAGCACUGUGCAAACACGAAAGUGGACGUAUACGGUGUGACGCCUGCCCGGUGCCGGAAGGUUAAUUGAUGGGGUUAUCCGCAAGGAGAAGCUCUUGAUCGAAGCCCCGGUAAACGGCGGCCGUAACUAUAACGGUCCUAAGGUAGCGAAAUUCCUUGUCGGGUAAGUUCCGACCUGCACGAAUGGCGUAAUGAUGGCCAGGCUGUCUCCACCCGAGACUCAGUGAAAUUGAACUCGCUGUGAAGAUGCAGUGUACCCGCGGCAAGACGGAAAGACCCCGUGAACCUUUACUAUAGCUUGACACUGAAUAUUGAACCUUGAUGUGUAGGAUAGGUGGGAGGCUUUGAAGCGUGGACGCCAGUCUGCGUGGAGCCAACCUUGAAAUACCACCCUUUAACGUUUGAUGUUCUAACCUGGCGCCGUGAUCCGGCGUGGGGACAGUGUCUGGUGGGUAGUUUGACUGGGGCGGUCUCCUCCUAAAGAGUAACGGAGGAGCACGAAGGUUAGCUAAUCACGGUCGGACAUCGUGAGGUUAGUGCAAUGGCAUAAGCUAGCUUGACUGCGAGAGUGACGGCUCGAGCAGGUGCGAAAGCAGGUCAUAGUGAUCCGGUGGUUCUGAAUGGAAGGGCCAUCGCUCAACGGAUAAAAGGUACUCCGGGGAUAACAGGCUGAUACCGCCCAAGAGUUCAUAUCGACGGCGGUGUUUGGCACCUCGAUGUCGGCUCAUCACAUCCUGGGGCUGAAGUAGGUCCCAAGGGUACGGCUGUUCGCCGUUUAAAGUGGUACGCGAGCUGGGUUUAGAACGUCGUGAGACAGUUCGGUCCCUAUCUGCCGUGGGCGCUGGAAGAUUGAGAGGGGUUGCUCCUAGUACGAGAGGACCGGAGUGAACGCACCACUGGUGUUCGGGUUGUCAUGCCAAUGGCAUUGCCCGGUAGCUAAGUGCGGAAAAGAUAAGCGCUGAAAGCAUCUAAGCGCGAAACUUGCCUCGAGAUGAAUCUUCCCUGGGCCUUUAAGGCCCCUGAAGGGACGUUGAAGACUACGACGUUGAUAGGCCGGGUGUGUAAGCGCAGCGAUGCGUUGAGCUAACCGGUACUAAUGACCCGUGAGGCUUAACCUU